CGCACUGAAGGGAGAACAAUAUGGAAGUGCGACCUGGAGUGAGAGAUUGAGAGAAAAACGCGGAGAUUUUCAGCCACAGUGAACCCCAAAGCCACACACUGACUCGUUCUCCGUAAAAUGAUUAGCUGCUGUCACACUAGGAACGCUUUCUGACUAAUGACAAUGUUGGGUAUGUACGUGCCGGACAGGUUCGUACUGAAGUCCUCCGAGGUCCAAGAUGGAAUCGGGCUGUACACCGCCAGACGGGUGAAAAAGUUUCAGAGAAAACGCCGUCUAUUUCAGGGAAACUAGCCUGUCUGUGUCAGUCUGAGCAGUGAAAUGGCUGAAGGCAGGGGUUUACUGGAUCAGGACUAGUUGAGCUGUUCGAUCUGUCUGGAUCUACUGAAGACACAGUUACUGCAGGCUCAGCAACAGCAGAGUGGACUGAGAAACAGGUUGGAUUUCUUGUUUCUGUCCUGAUUUGGAUCAGUUUCGAGGCUUGCUAAUACAGACACCUGCCAUGCUCGCCUGUCCUGAUUAAAGAGGGAGAAAUACAUUUUAUCAGGAGACAGACACACAAUGGCAGGCAGAAGCAGAACUUAUGUGGCCAAUGCCUCCGGCAGCACUCUGCGUGUGUAUUACUGCACAGACAAUCUGAUUCUUGAGGAGACCGAUAUCGACACUGGGGCGACACUUGGCGGCUCCGUGUCGCAGGGCCCGACACUUUCAAUGUCCAUGAAAAUGGAGAUGAUCAUGAAACGCGAUAAACGCGUCCGCUACCUACGCAUCCCACACGACAACCACGGCCAGAUCCUGGGUGAAGGAGCCAUCUAUGUCACCGUGUUCGUGGAGCAAAAGGGCAGCAGUGACGAGUGCCUGAACAUCUCCCAGAACUUUUUCAUCCCCUGUGACAGGUCCUUCAUCGUCACAGCAGACCAUAACAUCGUGUUACAGUCGUAUGGAGCCAACAUUUGGGUGGAUGAGGGUGGCGUUGACCACAGAAAAUAAGAGACUAUUGACAGCCCAUCAAACAAUUGAAUCGUUUAGAGAGAUUGAAAAGAAUGCACAUAACACAUUAGGCCUACUUAUAGGGUUACAGUCUUGGUUUAAUUUAAGAAUGGUUUAAAUCAGUGGCGGCAGCCAUUUAGGAUGGGACCCGGUGCAAGAUUUGCCAACCAAGAUGCCGGCACGCGCACACAAAGACAUAUAACCUACGCACGCACGCAUACACACACAUGCACACACACACACAUACACACACAUUAGACAGAUAUCAUUCAUUCAUUCAUUAUCCUAACCCGCUUAUCCUGAACAGGGUCGCUGGGGGGCUGGAGCCUAUCCCAGCGUACAUUGGGUGAAAGGCAGGAAUACACCCUGGACAGGUCGCCAGUCCAUCACAGGGCACACACACCAUUCACUCACACACUCAUACCUACGGGCAAUUUAGACUCUCCAAUCAGGGGCCAGUCGCGUGUAGGUGUAGAGCCCUACAAUGGUCACUACGGCUCAAAUCCACCCUUUGGCAAACCAUGACAUAAAUAAUGGAAACUAUUUCCUUGUAGAAUUGUCCCAUAAUCAUGUUUGUUGUGUCAUUAGAUUUGAUCUCCAGCUCUAUUUCACUAUGGAUUGGAAAUUCUUUCUGCCAUCAUUCUACUUAAUCGUUAUCUCACAUUACAAUUAAGGUAUUUGGCUUUAAGUUUUUUUAAUGGCUGUUAUUGUAAAUGUUUUUUAAACUUUUUUUAUUGUAUUGUUUACUGCUGCUUGACAGUAUCAGACAACACUGCUUCAGCUUCAUACUUUUCACACAUCCAGUCACUCACACUACUGAUGCAACUGACUUUCA